rnacentral:rRNA from 1 species
AGCUCCAAUAGCGUAUAUUAAAAUUGUUGCAGUUAAAAAGCUCGUAGUUGAACUUCUGGUUUGGCGCGCGCGGCCCGUUGCGGCAACGCAGUGUGUGCCGUUGUGCGCCUGCCAUCCUUCUGGCGUUUGGGUGUGCCCUUCACUGGGACUGCACUGGGUGUCAAGAUCUUUUACUUUGAAAAAAUUAGAGUGUUUAAAGCAGGCUUGCGCAAUGAAUACAUUAGCAUGGAAUAAUAAUUUAGGACUUCUGUUCUAUUUUGUUGGUUUCUAGGAUGGAAGUAAUGAUUGAUAGGGAUAGUUGGGGGUGCUAGUAUUCAGCGGCCAGAGGUGAAAUUCUUGGAUUCGCUGAAGACUAACUUAUGCGAAAGCAUUCACCAAGGAUGUCUUCU